rnacentral:tRNA from 1 species
GCAUCUAUGGAUAAAUGGUUAAAGCGCCAAACUCAUCAUUGGCGAAUGCAUAGAUUCAAUUCCUACUGGAUGCA